rnacentral:tRNA from 1 species
UAUAUUUUAAUAUAUUGAUGUAUAUAAAUUUUUGAAAUUUAAAGUAAUAGUUUAAUUCUAUUAGGUAUAA